GUUAGCAGAGAGCUUAUAAAUAAACACUUGUAUCCUAUGGAAAAACUCAGUUCAGAAAAUUAUGGCAAAAGCUCUUCAUCAUCUAAGUUUCUUUUCUCCUUUCCUCGUCGGGUUUCUCUUGGUUUUGUUUGUUUCAGACAUGGCAUACGUCCACAGCCAAUCAUGUUAUCCACAGGGGUCUGUUGAAUUAGAGCCGAACAAAAACUGUGAUGUGAAUGAGUGUUAUAAUUAUAUAUGUGUGCGCACCGGUGUAUUUUAUGAUUCUGCCGCAUGCGGAUGGAAUCCGGAAACAGGCAAUAACGUCUGCAUAUGUUGCCUAAGAGGAUGAAACACCAUGCCAGGUCAAUUUCCAUGGCACCGAUUACUAUCUUUCCUUUCUCGUUUCCUUGUAAUAAGUUCCAUUUCAUGAACAAGUUAUUGGCUUAAUUAUCAGUUUGAUUGUGUCAUUCGCUGAUCAGUUGUUGAUAUUUCUC